rnacentral:tRNA from 1 species
GCCUGGGUGGCGGAAUUGGUAGACGCAAGGGACUUAAAAUCCCUCGGGGUUCGCCCUGUGCGGGUUCGAUUCCCGCCCCAGGCA